AUUGAACGCUGGCGGCAGGCCUAACACAUGCAAGUCGAGCGGGGUUUUCGGACCUAGCGGCGGACGGGUGAGUAAUGCGUAGGAAGCUGCCCGAUAGAGGGGGAUACCAGUUGGAAACGACUGUUAAUACCGCAUAAUGUCUACGGACCAAAGUGUGGGACCUUCGGGCCACAUGCUAUCGGAUGCGCCUACGUGGGAUUAGCUAGUUGGUGAGGUAAUGGCUCACCAAGGCGACGAUCUCUAGCUGGUUUGAGAGGAUGAUCAGCCACACUGGAACUGAGACACGGUCCAGACUCCUACGGGAGGAAGCAGUGGGGAAUAUUGGACAACGGGCGCAAGCCUGAUCCAGCCAUGCCGCGUGUGUGAAGAAGGCCUUCGGGUUGUAAAGCACUUUCAGCGAGGAGGAAGGGUGGUGUGUUAAUAGCACAUCAUUUUGACGUUACUCGCAGAAGAAGCACCGGCUAACUCUGUGCCAGCAGCCGCCGUAAAAC
rnacentral:rRNA from 1 species